rfam:Psychromonas ingrahamii 37, complete genome.
AACCUGGUCAGAGCCGGAAGGCAGCAGCCAUA